ACGUAGGGAGCGAGCGUUGUCCGGAUUUACUGGGCGUAAAGGGCGCGUAGGCGGUCUGUUAAGUAUGAAGUGAAAUCUCCAGGGCUCAACCCGGAAACCGCUUUGUAAACUGGCAGACUGGAGGAAGGCAGAGGUGAGUGGAAUUCCCGGUGUAGCGGUGACAUGCAUUGAUAUCGGGAGGAACACCCAUGGCGAAGGCAGCUCACUGGGCCUUUCCUGACGCUGAGGCGCGAAAGCGUGGGUAGCAAACAGAAUUAGAUACUCUGGUAGUCCACGCCCUAAACGAUGGAUGCUAGGCGUGAGGGGUAUCGACCCCCCUUGUGCCGCAGCUAACGCAUUAAGCAUCCCGCCUGGGGAGUACGGCCGCAAGGUUG
rnacentral:rRNA from 1 species